rnacentral:rRNA from 1 species
CUGUAAGCCGUUGAAGGUGUGCUGUGAGGCAUGCUGGAGGUAUCAGAAGUGCGAAUGCUGACAUAAGUAACGAUAAAGCGGGUGAAAAGCCCGCUCGCCGGAAGACCAAGGGUUCCUGUCCAACGUUAAUCGGGGCAGGGUGAGUCGACCCCUAAGGCGAGGCCGAAAGGCGUAGUCGAUGGGAAACAGGUUAAUAUUCCUGUACUUGGUGUUACUGCGAAGGGGGGACGGAGAAGGCUAUGUCAGCCGGGCGACGGUUGUCCCGGUUUAAGCAUGUAGGCGGAGGUUCCAGGUAAAUCCGGUACCUUGUUAACGCUGAGGUGUGAUGACGAGGCACUACGGUGCUGAAGUGAUAAAUGCCCUGCUUCCAGGAAAAGCCUCUAAGCAUCAGGUAACACGAAAUCGUACCCCAAACCGACACAGGUGGUCAGGUAGAGAAUACCAAGGCGCUUGAGAGAACUCGGGUGAAGGAACUAGGCAAAAUGGUGCCGUAACUUCGGGAGAAGGCACGCUGAUAUGUAGGUGAAGUCCCUGCGGACGGAGCUGAAAUCAGUCGAAGAUACCAGCUGGCUGCAACUGUUUAUUAAAAACACAGCACUGUGCAAACACGAAAGUGGACGUAUACGGUGUGACGCCUGCCCGGUGCCGGAAGGUUAAUUGAUGGGGUUAGCGGCAACGCGAAGCUCUUGAUCGAAGCCCCGGUAAACGGCGGCCGUAACUAUAACGGUCCUAAGGUAGCGAAAUUCCUUGUCGGGUAAGUUCCGACCUGCACGAAUGGCGUAAUGAUGGCCAGGCUGUCUCCACCCGAGACUCAGUGAAAUUGAACUCGCUGUGAAGAUGCAGUGUACCCGCGGCAAGACGGAAAGACCCCGUGAACCUUUACUAUAGCUUGACACUGAACACUGGUCCUUGAUGUGUAGGAUAGGUGGGAGGCUUUGAAGCGUGGACGCCAGUCUGCGUGGAGCCAUCCUUGAAAUACCACCCUUUAAUGGCUGGUGUUCUAACGUAGACCCGUGAUCCGGGUUGCGGACAGUGUCUGGUGGGUAGUUUGACUGGGGCGGUCUCCUCCCAAAGAGUAACGGAGGAGCACGAAGGUUGGCUAAUCCUGGUCGGACAUCAGGAGGUUAGUGCAAUGGCAUAAGCCAGCUUGACUGCGAGCGUGACGGCGCGAGCAGGUGCGAAAGCAGGUCAUAGUGAUCCGGUGGUUCUGAAUGGAAGGGCCAUCGCUCAACGGAUAAAAGGUACUCCGGGGAUAACAGGCUGAUACCGCCCAAGAGUUCAUAUCGACGGCGGUGUUUGGCACCUCGAUGUCGGCUCAUCACAUCCUGGGGCUGAAGUAGGUCCCAAGGGUAUGGCUGUUCGCCAUUUAAAGUGGUACGCGAGCUGGGUUUAGAACGUCGUGAGACAGUUCGGUCCCUAUCUGCCGUGGGCGCUGGAGAAUUGAGGGGGGCUGCUCCUAGUACGAGAGGACCGGAGUGGACGCAUCACUGGUGUUCGGGUUGUCAUGCCAAUGGCACUGCCCGGUAGCUAAAUGCGGAAGAGAUAAGUGCUGAAAGCAUCUAAGCACGAAACUUGCCCCGAGAUGAGUUCUCCCUGAGACUUU